GAGGAUGUGCAUGUGAACUUUACUCAAGAGGAAUGGGCUUUGCUGGAUCCUUCCCAGAAGAGUCUCUACAAAGAUGUGAUGCUGGAAACCUACAGGAACCUCACGGCUAUAGGCUAUAAAUGGGAAGACUUCAAUAUUGAAGAACAUUGUAAAUGUCCUAAAAGACAUGAAAGGCAGCCAAUCACCUGGUGGUUGAUGAGGAG
rnacentral:lncRNA from 1 species